rnacentral:rRNA from 1 species
UACGGAGGGUGCGAGCGUUGUCCGGAGUCACUGGGCGUAAAGCGCGCGCAGGCGGCUAUCCAAGUCAGUGGUGAAAGCCCGGAGCUCAACUCCGGAACUGCCAUUGAAACUGUUUAGCUUGAGGAUGAGAGAGGUGAGUGGAAUUCCCAGUGUAGAGGUGAAAUUCGUAGAUAUUGGGAAGAACACCGGUGGCGAAGGCGGCUCACUGGCUCAUUACUGACGCUCAGGCGCGAUAGCGUGGGGAUCAAACAGG